GUCUCCGUAGCUUAUCAACU
rnacentral:tRNA from 2 species